CCAAUCGAACUCGGAGAUAGCUGGUUCUCCCCGAAAUAGCUUUAGGGCUAGCGUUGUGUUAGUUUACCGGAGGUAGAGCACUGAAUUGGCUAAGGGGCGAUGAGCUUACUGAACCUUAUCAAACUUCGAAUGCCGGAUAAAUGGUGCACAGCAGUCAGACAGUGUGAGAUAAGUUUCAUUGUCAAGAGGGAAACAGCCCAGACCCACAGCUAAGGUCCCAAAUGAACGCUAAGUGGAAAACGAUGUGGGGUUGCAAAAACAACCAGGAUGUUGGCUUAGAGGCAGCCACUCAUUAAAAGAGUGCGUAAUAGCUCACUGGUCGAGUGACCCUGCGCGGAAAAUAUAACGGGGCUAAGCGUCCAACCGAAGCUUGGGAUGUCUAAGGACAUGGUAGGGGAGCGUCGUGUAUAGGGAGAAGCAUGAGCGAGAGCACAUGUGGACAGUACACGAGUGAGAAUGCCGGAAUGAGUAGCGAGAAUUAUGUGGGAAUCAUAAUGGCCGAAAAUCUAAGGUUUCUUGGGGAAGGUUCGUCCGCCCAAGGUAAGCCGGGAGCUAAGGCGAGGCCGCAAGGCGUAGUCGAUGCACAUACGGUUGAAAUUCCGUAGCCGCCGAAAUUGUUAAGCACAGGGACACAUAGAGAUAUCCGAACCCGGGCGUUGGUUGACCCGGGCGCAAGGGACCGAACAUCAGUAGGGAAGUCGGAGAUGCUCUGUGGCGAGAAAAGCUGUGUGUAUUGAUUAGGCGCCCGUACCGCAAACCGACACAGGUAGAUGAGGAGAGAAUCCUAAGGCCAACGGGAGAAGGGUUGUUAAGGAACUCGGCAAAUUGACCCCGUAACUUCGGGAUAAGGGGAGCCUCCUACGGGAGGCCGCAGUGAAUAGGCCCAAGCAACUGUUUACCAAAAACACAGGUCUCUGCUAAAUCGAAAGAUGACGUAUAGGGGCUGACGCCUGCCCGGUGCCGGAAGGUUAAGAGGAGAGCUUAGCGCAAGCGAAGGUUCGAAUUGAAGCCCCGGUAAACGGCGGCCGUAACUAUAACGGUCCUAAGGUAGCGAAAUUCCUUGUCAGGUAAGUUCUGACCCGCACGAAUGGCGUAAUGAUUUGGGCACUGUCUCAACAGCCCGCCCGGCGAAAUUGUAGUACUGGUGAAGAUGCCAGUUACCCGCAACUAGACGGAAAGACCCCAUGGAGCUUUACUGUAGCCUAAUACUGAAGAUCGGUAAUGCAUGUACAGGAUAGGUGGGAGCCAGCGAAACCCGGGCGUCAGCUCGGAUGGAGGCAACCUUGGAAUACCACCCUUGUAUUGCUGGUUUUCUAACCUGCGGCCAUGAAUCUGGUCGGGGGACACUGUUAGGUGGGCAGUUUGACUGGGGCGGUCGCCUCCAAAAGCGUAACGGAGGCGCUCAAAGGUUGGCUCAGCACGGACGGAAAUCGUGCAUAGAGUGCAAACGCAUAAGCCAACUUGACUGCGAGACCGACGGGUCGAGCAGGUACGAAAGUAGGAGUUAGUGAUCCGGUGGUAUGUGAGUGGAAAUGCCAUCGCUCAACGGAUAAAA
rnacentral:rRNA from 1 species